GGCUUCGUAGCUCAGCUGGUAGAGCCUGCGCGUACAAAGCGUAUGCGGCGUACAUACCUGGAUUCGAAUCCCAUCGACGCUA
rnacentral:tRNA from 1 species